GGUUCGAUUCUGGCUCAGAUUGAACGCUGGCGGGAUGCUUUAUACAUGCAAGUCGGUCUGGCACGGACUUCGGUCUGGUGGCGAGUGGCGAACGGGUGAGUAAUGUAUCGGAACGUGCCUGGUAGCGGGGGAUAACUACGCGAAAGCGUAGCUAAUACCGCAUACGCUCCUCGGGGGAAAGCGGGGACCUUCGGGCCUCGCACUAUUAGAGCGGCCGAUAUCGGAUUAGCUAGUUGGUGGGGUAACGGCUCACCAAGGCGACGAUCCAGCUGGUUUGAGAGGACGACCGCCACACUGGGACUGAGACACGGCCCAGACUCCUACGGGAGGCAGCAGUGGGGAAUUUUGGACAAUGGGGAAACCCUGAUCCAGCCAUCCCUGCGUGUGCGAUGAAGGCCUUCGGGUUGUAAAGCACUUUUUGGCAGGAAGAAACGGCACGGGAUAAUACCCCGUAACUGACGGUACUGCAGAAUAAGCACCGCCAACUACGUGCCAGCAGCCGCGGUAUUUGUAGGGUGUAAGCGUUAAUCGGAAUUACUGGGCGAAGCAGCAGGCGGUUCGGAAAGAAAGAUGUGAAACCAAGAGCUUAACUUAAGAACUGCAUUUUUAACUACCGAGCUAGAGUGUGUCGAGAGUAGAAUUCAUGCAUGAAAGAAAUGCGAGAAAGAUAUCAUCAGAUGGCGAGCGCAGCCCUGGGGAUAACAUCGACGCCUUCAUGCACGAAAGCGUGGGAGCAACAGGAUUAGAUAUUCCGGUAGUCCACGCCCUAAACGAUGUCAACUAGUUGUUGGGGCCUUCGGCCUGUAUAUAUUAACGGUGAAGUUGACUGCCUGGGGAGUACGGCUCGCAAGAUUAAAACUCAAAAGGAAUUGACGGGGACUCGCACAAGCGGUGGAUGAUGUGGAUUAAUUCGAUGCAACGCGAAAAACCUUACCUACCCUUACUAGCGUCUGGAAUCCCGAAGAGAUUUGGGAGUGCUCGCAAGAGAACCGAACACAGGUGCUGCAUGGCUGUCGUCAGCUCGUGUCGUGAGAUGUUGGGUUAAGUCCCGCAACGAGCGCAGCCCUUGUCAUUAGUUAUUACGAAAGGGCACUCUAUCGAGACUGAAGGUGACAAACCGAGGAAGGUGGGGAUGACGUCAAGUCCUCAUGGCCCUUAUGGGUAGGGCUUCACACGUCAGGCAAAUGGUUGACAGAGGGUCACAACCCGCGAGGGGGGCCAAUCCCAGAAACCCGAUCGUAAGUCCGGAUCGCAGUCUGCAACUCGACUGCGUGAAGUCGGAAUCGCUAGCAAUCGCGGAUCAGCAUGUCGCGUAAUACGUUCCCGGGUCUUGUACACACCGCCCGUCACACCAUGGGAGUGGGUUUUACCAGAAGUAGUUAGCCUAACCGUAAGGAGGGCGAUUACCACGGUAGGAUUCAUGACUGGGGUGAAGUCGUAACAAGGUAG
rnacentral:rRNA from 1 species